AUUAAACCUAAAAUACUAACUCAAAAUAAUAAAUUCACAAAAACAAUUUAUUAACAAUUCAUUUACAAUAAAAAAUAACUAUCAAAAAACCCAAACUAUCAAAAUCUACCUAAUAAACUUUUUCCUCCCUAUAUUAUCUCAACCCCUUUUAUUUUUCAUUCCUUCAUUACAUAAUCUAUAAUUAUUAUAAUACCUUCUCAACUAAUAAUUACAACUAAAA
rnacentral:misc_RNA from 1 species